rnacentral:rRNA from 1 species
UACGUAGGGUCCGAGCGUUGUCCGGAUUUAUUGGGCGUAAAGCGCUCGCAGGUGGUUCGUUGCGUCGUGCGUGAAAGGCCCCGGCUCAACUGGGGAGGGUCGUGCGAUACGGGCGGACUGGAGGCCAGUAGGGGGAUGCGGAAUUCCGGGUGUAGUGGUGGAAUGCGUAGAGAUCCGGAGGAACACCAGCGGCGAAAGCGGCACCCUGGCAUUGACCUGACGCUCAGGUGCGAAAGCGUGGGGAGCGAACGGG